UCGAGAGCCACUACCGUACGCGCGCGCGCGCGCGCGCGCGAGUGCGAUGCGAGCCAGUGCAGCACGUGGGCGACAUGCGCGCCAGGCCGAUGCACCAAAUGCCAGUCAGGGAUGUGAGAGCUACGGUGUGGGAGGGUUCGCAUAGUAGUAAACUUUGUACGCCAGGUGCACGAUUUAUAUAUAGGGUGUAAUGUGCUAGUUGAUGAAUUUUUCAUAUGGUUGAGGCUCAAAAUAGGACGCGAGCUUUAGAAAUGUUUUUUUUACUAGAGAUCUCUCGGUAAUGGUUUAAAUGAGAGCUUUUUUAAAUAUGAUUUUGUUAAUUUACCACGUGGAGCAUGUUAAUAAAGCCGCGUGAAUUGUCGUGAAUAAAUUUAUUUAUCCAAUUAUUCUCUUUGCUCUAAUGAUCAAAGCUAACCUUCACAAGGAAGCUAGUUUGACUUACUUUUUGAGGUUAACUGUACCACUUAAAGUUUCAAUACAUUUUUUAACUUUGACCCAAUGGGAUAUUUGCAAAAGGCUUGUCAAAAUAACGUAAACAAAAAUAUUAAUACCUACCUUCCUAGUUACUCUACGUUAUCAAGAAUUCAACCGAUGAGUCAUCCUAAAAAUUACAUUUGGAAUGCUCCAAAUUUUAUUAAAAUCUGAUUUUUAAGUUUUAACCGAGAGAAAACUGCCUUGAGAUCAGAGUUUUAAAUUUGUCCAAGAUAUUUUCUUUGUAAAUAAAUUUGUUCAUACUGUGCAAUAUUUGUUUGUUAUCUAUCGAAGUAUGUGCACUGAAGAAAUCGUAGAUGAUGUUUAUCGAUGAUUCAUCUUGAGAAGCCCUAUUUAUUGAAUUGCUACAGAUACUUUUUACACGCAGUGUAUUCAAAUUGGAAAGACAGGUAAUUCCAAGCCAGUGACCUUUACAGAGAACAAAGAGCCGGCAGGCUAGCAGCGUGCGGGCAUACGGGAGCAGCCGUGGCCGAAAUAGCUGUAAAACAUAACAGUUGUGGACUGGCUCUGUCACAUCGCUUGAACUUUAAGACUUUCAAUCAGUCUCUGGCUAGCAAAAGUAGAUGGCGUUUAGGAACUUUUAUUUUUCCCUCAUCACAAUCUGGGCGCAGAAUAUAACCAUAGGGAUGUAACACCUAUGCCAGAAGUGCCUUGUUGGGCCUGGUUGAGCCGUUCAUGCUAAAACUACAACUGCACGACAAUCUACAGAUCAUUUUUAUCUUAUUCAGAUAAAUUGGCUUAACUCAUUAAAUGAGCAAACUUCGAAAUAACGACAUCAAAAGCGAAACGCUUGCAAUUCAAAAUGUAAAGCAAAGUUUUAUUUCGUGAUUUGUAAAACUAUUUCAAUUCAAUCGAUAAAAUAAAAUCGUGCACGUAAAAAUAUACUUGUUUGAAUGCUCUCGAUUCUAAUAAUUAUUCCAAUGAAAUGGAGUAUUGUUAGACUGUCAAUUAUUUACAAUGAAAGCUUAUGACGCGCUUAUUAAUUUUCAAUUCGUUUGUGACUUUAAUGACGAUCAAACAUGUUAAUCACGACAUUAUGCGCACAUUGGAAACUUUAUCGCACAGUUUCUCCGUAUCGGCACUUCAGAUGUUCCACGUUAUUGCCCCCUUCACACUUUAUUUUUAUAUAAGUCAGACCGCAAGCAUUUGGUGGUAAAAUGGCAACCUAUCGAAUAGUGAUUGUCAGUCUUUGCGUACUAUUUAUUAUUCUGCAUAUUGAUUCAAAUUCGGCAGAGCAAUAUCGUAUACAAAAGAAAAUUACAUAUUACGACGAUGGACAAAAUGGUACGAUGGCAUGCAUUCAUUUUCCAAAAGUACAAAUUCGUAGUUACAAGACAGAGCCAUUGGGAUUCAGCAGUAAGUUACAAAAACAUUGAU
rnacentral:lncRNA from 1 species